AUUCCAGCUCCAAUAGCGUAUAUUAAAGUUGUUGCAGUUAAAAAGCUCGUAGUUGGAGUUCCGAGUGAGUUCAGCUGGUCCGCCUCAUGGGUGAGUACUGGUCGACUCUCUCUUGUUUGUGGAUCCCGCCCGGAGUUAAUUCUUCGGGGUGUGGAGUUCACACCGUUUACCGUGAAAAACAUAGAGUGUUCAAAGCAGGCGUUUGCUUGAAUAUAUUAGCAUGGAAUAAUGGAAUAGGACCCUGGUUCUAUUUUGUUGGUUUUGAGAACCAGAGUAAUGAUUAAUGGGGAUGGUUGGGGGCAUUCGUAUUUCAAUGUCAGAGGUGAAAUUCUUGGAUUUAUGAAAGAUGAGCUUCUGCGGAAGCAUUUGCCAAGGAUGUUUUCAUUG
rnacentral:rRNA from 1 species